rnacentral:rRNA from 1 species
UACAGAGGUGGCAAGCGUUGUUCGGAAUUACUGGGCGUAAAGGGCGCGUAGGCGGCCUACUAAGUCAGACGUGAAAUCCCCCGGCUUAACCUGGGAACUGCGUCUGAUACUGGAAGGCUUGAGGAUGGGAGAGGGAUGUAGAAUUCCAGGUGUAGCGGUGAAAUGCGUAGAUAUCAGGAGGAACACCCGUGGUGCAGACGGCUUGCUGGACCGUGACUGACGCUGAGGCACGAAAGCGUGGGUAGCAAACAGG